AUGCAUGUGGACUAGAAAAUUGAAUCCAGAAACACCUCGUUAAAAGCGAGUCUGGAUAAAGGGAGAAAUAUGAUCAUGGCGAGUUAUCCAUUGAAGGAUGCAGAGCACCACAUUAGAAAAUUUGAUGAAUGGUAGGAAAAAAAAAAAAUGAGAGAAGAUGGAGUGUUUGGGGAAUUAGAGGGGCCCCCUCCAAACACUUCACAACGUGGUUUUUAUUUGGAUACUCUAAAAAAUAGAUUGUCACAAGCUCGUGAAAAAAUGGCUGGUGCUGGUGUGUUCGGACGAGACAAACACCAGAAGGAAGAAACAAAACUUUUGGAUUUGAUUAGACAAACCCAGUUCAAUUUUAGUAACUAUUUUUCUGACAAGGACCCUGAACAGGAACAGGUGGAGCAAAACGGGGCUCAGGGAGGUGAGCAGGCACUCGACACUUCAGAGGAUGCCUGUUAUGGAGUUGCGUGAAGGUCAGAUAAAUUGUGAAAUAAGGCCUACAGAGGAAGAAUUGGGACAAGAGGUACGAAAGGAGUUUCAGAUGCAAGAUUUAAUAGAGGAGGUGGUAAAU